GAUGAACGCUGGCGGCGUGCCUAAUACAUGCAAGUCGAGCGAACAGACGAGGAGCUUGCUCCUCUGACGUUAGCGGCGGACGGGUGAGUAACACGUGGAUAACCUACCUAUAAGACUGGGAUAACUUCGGGAAACCGGAGCUAAUACCGGAUAACAUGUUGAACCGCAUGGUUCAACAGUGAAAGACGGUCUUGCUGUCACUUAUAGAUGGAUCCGCGCCGCAUUAGCUUGUUGGUAAGGUAACGGCUUACCAAGGCAACGAUGCGUAGCCGACCUGAGAGGGUGAUCGGCCACACUGGAACUGAGACACGGUCCAGACUCCUACGGGAGGCAGCAGUAGGGAAUCUUCCGCAAUGGGCGAAAGCCUGACGGAGCAACGCCGCGUGAGUGAAGAAGGUCUUCGGAUCGUAAAACUCUGUUAUUAGGGAAGAACAAAUGUGUAAGUAACUAUGCACGUCUUGACGGUACCUAAUCAGAAAGCCACGGCUAACUACGUG
rnacentral:rRNA from 1 species